rnacentral:lncRNA from 1 species
AAGUAAAGGCAAGAACUCAACAGCAUCAAUCACAGUUCGUGGAGUUCUUAACCGCUUAGCUGAAACUCUGAACAAAGAAGACAAAAGAGAAGUUAUACCACUAGCUCAUGGUGACCCUUCUGCCUUCCCUUGCUUCAGGACUACACCUGUGGCUGAUGAGGCUAUUUUUGAUGCUGUACGAUCUGCUAAGAACAAUCAUUAUGCUCCAACUGUGGGUCUCCUUCCUGCUAGGAGGUAUCUACUUUGAAUGAUUUUGUGUGUGUAGAUUUUUAUGCUCUCUAUCUUGAAAAUUUCUCGGCUUUGAUAAUUUCCACUGAAGCAGUUUUGAUUUGUGGUUUAUGUUAAAUUUGCAUCCAUAUUGUGGGGAUGAAGUUUUAUUGAGCUUAACAAGCUCUAACACGAAGCGAUUAAGCUUGGCAUACAUCCCGUAGGAACCUCAGACACUGUGUCUUCAAUCAAUCAAUAUACUCUCCUUAAUUGUAGGCUGCAAUAUUCAAAUAUACUCUGAAUUGAAAGUGAUUUUGAAUUCUUUAUCAUAGAGCUGCUGCAGAUUACCUUAACCGUGACCUCCCAUACAAGUUAUCACCAGAUGAUGUUUUUCUCACACUUGGUUGCACACAAGCAAUUGAAAUUGCAGUAACAGUCUUGGCUGCUAUACCUGGUGCCAAUGUUUUGCUUCCAAGACCAGGUUUCCCAUACUAUGAAGCUCGUGCUGCACGUAGUUGUCUUGAUGUCCGGCAUUUUGAUCUUCUCCCAGAAAAAGGAUGGGAGGUUGAUCUUGAAGCUGUUGAAGCUCUGGCAGAUGAGAACACGGUUGCAAUGGUUAUUAUAAACCCUGGCAAUCCUUGUGGAAGUGUCUACAGCUAUCAACACUUGGAAAAGGUGUCAUAAACUAUAUCUCUUCCUUCCUAUCUUUUAAUCUGCAUUAGCUGGAGCGCGUGGUUAUGCUAGCCCCCUUGGAGUAAUGUUUUUUGUUCAAUGUCAGGUUGCCGAGACAGCAAGAAUGCUUGGGAUUAUGGUGAUUUCUGAUGAAGUAUAUGGCCACUUGACAUUUGGGAGUGCUCCAUUUGUGCCGAUGGGAGUCUUUGCGUCAACUGUGCCUGUCCUUACACUUGGAUCUAUAUCGAAGAGAUGGAUUGUUCCCGGCUGGCGAAUGGGCUGGCUUGUCACAAAUGAUCCCAAUGGCAUCCUUCAAGAUUCUGGGGUUGGCUCCCUGUCUCUGUCUCGAAGUAGAUGCAUUGACGUUGUUUUUUUUAAUUCUGUGGGAACUGACUCGUUUUCCCAUCAUGGUUCAAAGCCUUCUGUUCUUUUUAAUGAUAACAUCUAUGUCUGCAUUAACAUGGACUCGUAAUCUUGGCUUCUUAACAUAUCUAUUUGUUCUUCCUAGAUUGUUGCGUCAAUCAAGGACUACCUCAAUAUCUCUUCGGAUCCUCCGACUUUCAUUCAGGUUUGUAAUUCACGAUACUUUUCCUGAAGAGCAUAUUGUUGGUUUCCCGCUUAGAAUCUCACUGAUAUAAUGAAUCCUUGACAUGUAUUAGGCUGCAGUUCCUCAAAUCAUUGAAAAUACAAAGGAUGGUUUCUUUUCGAAAAUUAAUAACAUACUGGGAGAGGCUGCAGACACAUGCUAUGGAAAAAUACAGGACAUACCUUGCAUCAUUUGCCCUCAUAAACCAGAAGGUUCUAUGUUUGUAAUGGUGAGCGCAUCACAUUUCUUUUCCUUUAUAUGAUGAAGAAGAUGGUGCUUUAAUAAUUAAAAACAUUAACCCUUUUUCAGGUAAAAUUGAAUUUGACUCUGCUGGAAGGCAUCGAUGAUGAUGUGGACUUCUGUCUUAAGCUGGCUAAAGAGGAAUCAGUCAUGGUACUCCCAGGUAAUCAAUGCCGAUGGCACAAAGUUUCUGAUGUGGGGUGGGCUAUAUUGGUGACAAAUGUGAGCUUUAUAGACUUUACAAGCUUAAAAUGUGAACUCUAAAUGUGUUCAUUCUUGGUGUCCUUGUCGAAUUCACGUGAUCUUAUCUGACAAUUGAAGCUUUAAUUUGAGCAUCACUGUGCACUGAUGAUUGAUCAAUUCAAUCAUCGACACUCAUCCUGACAACAUUGUAUUACAUCUUGCAGGAAUUGCUGUAGGAAUGAAGAAUUGGCUUCGCAUAACCUUCGCCAUUGAGCCUUCAGCACUUGAAGUUGGCCUUGAGAGGCUAAAAGUCUUCUGCCAAAGGCAUGCCAAGAAGCAGUAAGAUUUCAUCAAAGUAUCAAGCAGCGAAGAGAAUCAAUAGUUGCUCGUUGAUUCUCAUGCUCCAAUGUUAGAUUUACUAGCCAUUCUGUCAACAAGAACAGGCUGUGGAGAUGUACAACUUCUCGUCGGAUCUCCAAGGUGUAAUUGCCUGUCAGAAAAUUAUCUCUCGAUCUAAAUUAUAACUUAGAUUAGUAAGUCAUUGAAUUAAAUCAAGUCAAAUCAGAUUUAAUAACAAUCACAAAUAAAAUAUAAUUUAUUUUAACUUUUAAUAUCUACUUGUUUUUAUUAUUAAAAUAUAAAACAUCACUUCGCAUUACAACACAUUAAAAAUAUAAUAGUAGAUACCGUUCGGAUUGAAUUAUUUUUUUAAUAAAUAAAAUAUACUAAAUAAAUGUUUUUUUAUUCAUUGAAUUAUCAUUUACUAUACAACAAAUUCAUAAACUUAAAAAUAAAUUUGCUAGAAAAUUGUAAUAAAAAGUACAAACGCUUUGAUAUAUUUGUAAGCUACUCAUCAAAAGAGAUAUUUUAAGGUAAUCCAAAGGAAGAUUCAUAGCAGUCAAGAUAAUGAAAGACUACUUUUUUUUUAAUAGUAUCAUUAAUUUGACUGCGAUGAACUUUCUCUCUAUUUUUGUGCUUCGUUCGAUUUGGUCACACGCACAGGAACUCCACAAAACCAAGCCCUAUUUUGAGACUACUGGAACCUUGGAAAAUCCUUUCUAAAAAAUGAUAUCUAAUGAAUUUCUUCUCUCUUCAUGGAUUCUUUUUGUUAUAUUUUUACAAGGAUAAAAAUACAAGUUUGACUUAUUAAAAAGAACAGCUAUGAAUCUCAAACCUGACUAGUCUUACCUUUUAAAAAAGAUAUAAUGAUAUUUAAGUAAAAACAAAGAAAAAAAAACCAGGUUGAUUCAAAACUUGAUUUGUAUAUAAUGUUUUAAAAAAUUAAACAAAAAUUGACUUAAAUAAAACUUGAUCGGACUAUUUUUUUCAUAGUAACAUUGAUAUAACUUUUUUCUUAUCUUGAAACGGCACCAUUUUACUUGAUCGGGAUUAAGAUAAUGUUUGAUAUUGCGGUUGUAAAAUGUUUUUGAAAAUUUUUUAUUUUUAUUUUGUUUUAAAUUAAUAUAUUUUUUAUAUUUUGAUAUGCUGAUAUCAAAAAUAAUUUUUUUAAAAAAUAAAUAUCUUUUUAAUAUAUUUUAAAAUAAAAAAUAUUUAAAAAAAAUCCGUUACUCACUCCUGGCACUCUUUGAUUCAUUCAAUUUGCAACUACAAGCUUGAAUCGUGUCACCGGUUAAGACGUGUUUAAUAAGUUUACUUCAUAGGCUAAUUUGAAUCUUUAUAUAUAUAUAUAUAUAUAUAUAUAUAUAUAUAUAUAUAUAUAUAUAUAUAUAUAUAUAUAUAUAUAUAAAGGAUGCUUUAUACUAGAAAAGGCUUUGGUGGGAUUUUAAACAACAUUGAUAGAUCCGCCAAUAGGAGCCUAAAGUAAGUACAGUUUUCUUAAUUGUUUUUAGUUGUAACUUAGUCCCUAUAGUUUUUAAGAUUUACCUUAGACUUCUGUUCAAUUUCACGUUUUUGUUUUUUCAACUUCUUUUUAUUUUUUAUGAAAUAGAAAGAAAAUGGAAAAAAGGGAGCACUAAAUUUGAGGAUGGAACUGAUCACGAUCAAGGCUAGUCAGAGGGUUAUGUAGUGAUUUUUGAUCCCAUAAGGAUUACUCAAUGAGUUUUAACAAAUUACAGGGACUAAGUUGACACUAAGAACAUGUUUGGCAUUGCCUUUUAAACACCUUUUGAAAAAAAAAUGAUUUUUUUAAAAUUAAAUUUUAUAUUUUUUUAAAUCGUUUUGAUGUAUUAAUAUUACAAAUAAUUUUUUUAAAAAUAAAAAAUACUUUUAAAAAUAAUUAUCAUCAUGUUAUCGCGGUAGCUAAUUGCAUGAAAUUACAUGAUAUGGUAUGAUUUAAUUAAAAAUUCAAAUGACUCGUGAUUUAGAGCAAGCCUGUUUUAAUUUUUUUUCAUAAUAUUAUUGUUUUGAUAUUUUUUUAAAAGAAUAUAUUAAUCUAAAUUAACCCACCUCAGUCGUAAUCAAAAUCUGGCGUCGAAAUAACCAGAGUGAAGAGUAGAUGGUGUCUGUUAGCAUUGCAAUCGUAGCAUAAUUUGUUUUAGAAGAAAAUGGAAAAAAAGGAGCACUAGAUUUGAGGAUGAGACUGGUGACUGAUCAAGGCUAGUCAAAGGGUUAUGUAAUAAUGUUUUGUUCCGCAAGGAUUACUCGAUUUUUUUUUGACAAAAAAUUACAAACGUGACAAAACUCUCUUUUAUAAUGAAGCUUGUGCUGGCUAUGCAUCAAACAGGAGCAGCGACAAGAAGAACCAGCCACAGCUUCUCCACUGCAAACGCAGAUACCAUCGUGAGACAUGGAGAACGGAACAAAGAAAUGGGGUUUUCAGGCAAAGAAAGGCAUGAACUCAACAGCAUCAAUCUCAGUUCGUGGAGUUAUUAACCGCUUAGCUGAAAAUCUGAACAAAGAAGACAAAAGAGAAGUUAUACCACUAGCUCAUGGUGACCCUUCUGCCUUCCCUUGCUUCAGGACUACACCUGUGGCUGAUGAGGCUAUUUUUGAUGCUGUACGAUCUGCUAAGAACAAUCAUUAUGCUCCAACUGUGGGCCUCCUUCCUGCUAGGAGGUAUCUACUUUGAAUGAUUUUGUGUGUGUAGAUUUUUAUGCUCCCUGUCUUUAAAAUUUCUCCGUGUUGAUAAUUUCCAAUGAAGCAGUUUUGAUUUGUGGUUUAUGUUAAAUUUGCAUCAAUUUUUUGGCGAUGAAGUUUUAUUGAGCUUAACAAGCUCUAACAUGAAGCGAUAAAGCUUGGCAUACAUCCCGUAGGAAC